rnacentral:lncRNA from 1 species
AUGCAGAUCUUUGUGAAGACCCUCACAGGCAAGACCAUCACCCUUGAGAUCGAGCCCAGCAACGCCAAAAUUCAGGACAAGGAGGGCAUCCCACCUGACCAGCAGCGUCUGAUACUUGCGGGCAAACAGCUGGAGGAUGGCCGCACUCUCUCAGACUACAACAUCCAGAAGGAGUCCACCCUGCACCUGGUGCUGCGCCUGCGAGGUGGCA